rnacentral:rRNA from 1 species
GAUGAACGCUGGCGGCGCGCCUAACACAUGCAAGUCGAACGAUUAAAGCACCUUCGGGUGUGUAUAAAGUGGCGAACGGCUGAGUAACACGUGGGCAACCUGCCCCUUUCAUUGGGAUAGCCACGGGAAACCGUGGAUAAUACCGAAUACUUCGAGACUUCCGCAUGGAAGACUCGAGAAAGCUCCGGCGGAGAGGGAUGGGCCCGCGGCCUGUUAGCUUGUUGGUGAGGUAACGGCCUACCAAGGCAAUGAUGGGUAGCUGGGUUGAGAGACCGACCAGCCAGAUUGGGACUGAGACACGGCCCAGACUCCUACGGGAGGCAGCAGUGGGGAAUCUUGCACAAUGGGCGAAAGCCUGAUGCAGCGACGCCGCGUGCGGGAUGAAGGCCUUCGGGUUGUAAACCGCUUUCAGCAGGGACGAGGCGAAAGUGACGGUACCUGCAGAAGAAGCCCCGGCUAACUACGUG